GACCUGAGCUGAAGUCGGACGCCCAACCAAUUGAGCCACCCAGGCGCCCCAAGAAGUCACUAAUUUAAUGACUGGCUUACCUCCAACUGCUAGGUUUUGCUUAGGUUGAGCCACAACAAACCAAAGAGGUGGCAUUACAAGUGUCCUUUUGUUUCCUCUUACAUGUUUCUGAGAGGACGGAGCCGUGAAUUGCUGCUUUAGAAGGAAACCAAGAGCUAGCCUGUGGACAGUAUCCAGGAGGAAUCUGUGUAAAAUGCCAAUGAAAAUACUCCCAGUCAAAACAUGAGGUGUGUGGGUGAGCUGCGAACAAAGAAGACGUCAUCACAUUGAAGGCUCAACGUGCCAAGCGAGAAAGAUGACCAAUAGGCAGAUGAAGCACCCAACUGCACAGGCUAAAGGCGGACUCCGAAACAGAAGGCUUUCAAAGGGAAAGGAUUUGCAAAGACAAGAAGGAAGUCAGAUUUCAGAAAGAUCUGCUCCCCCAGUAGAGAACCUGGUAAGCAUUUGAUUCAAGAAACCAUAAAGUUAUCAAGGUUUCCAAGUUUAUAUCCGUGUGUUAAUGCUGGCAACAGACAACUUCCUCACGUGACGUUAUAGUCACAAAGACCGAGUCAUAGUCUCAGAUGCCAACAUAACAAGAUCAGGAGCGGAAUUGCUCGUGUUUGGAAACCAGGUUUACGGGAUGUUCACUAUUUUAAGAGCUUGGAGACCCAAGCCAGUUAGGGUGGUCCUGUUAUUUUUAAUUUAGCUCAGAAUGCAAAGUGCUUUACUUUUUUCCGUAUUGCCGUCUCUGAAGUGCUCAGUCGUGUUGGGAGUAGAGUCAUGUAUCAGUGUUGGCUUCCUGCUUCCCUCUUUUGGUCAAGUUCCUGCCAUUAAGAUGUGGAUUUGAUAGCAGGGUUGGCCUGUGGUGGUGGUGGUGAUUGUUGUUUUUAAAUUCAGUAUCAUUAAUUGUUUGUGUGUCCUUUGACUUAUUUGUACAGGAGUAACUAGUGUUGUUUUCAUAGAAGAUCCUUUUAACGGUUAUCAAAAAUGCAGUCACAUCAUAUGGAGUCUAAAACUCUGCUUUUUUGGGGGGAUUUUGUUCAGCCCGUAGCCUUAUAAUUGCCUUUCAUGUUCAGAGGUAUUUUACUUCCUUUAUCAGAUCUGUUGGGAUCGAGAACUGAGAAAUUAAUCUACUCUACCAGGUCACCCUGAAGUAACUAUGACUGUAAGGGUCCCCAUGUUAGACUGUUCCUGGCCUGCAAGUGACAAGCUCAAAAUAUGUAUAAGGGGAGGAUCUCAUAAGCCAUAGAGCAGACACCAGGCAACUUUUCCUGGGAGGAAUUUACGGAUACCUUUUCCACAUGUGAAUCAGCCCUGAAGAGUGGGUUUUUGAUGGGAUGUCUAGGUGGCUCAGUUGGUUAAGUGUCCGACUUUGGCUCAGGUCAUGAACUAAUGGUUUGUGAGUUUGAGCCCCGCAUCAGGCUCUGUGCUGACAGCUCAGAGCCUGGAGCCUGCUUCGGAUUCUGUGUCUCCCUCUCUCUCUCUGCUUCUCCCCCACUCAUACUCUGUCUCUCUCUCUCUCUCUCUCUCAAAAAUAAAUAAACAUUGGGGCGCCUGGGUGGCGCAGUCGGUUAAGUGUCCGACUUCAGCCAGGUCACGAUCUCGCGGUCCGUGAGUUCGAGCCCCGCGUCAGGCUCUGGGCUGAUGGCUCGGAGCCUGGAGCCUGUUUCCGAUUCUGUGUCUCCCUCUCUCUCUGCCCCUCCCCCGUUCAUGCUCUGUCUCUCUCUGUCCCAAAAAUAAAUAAAAAACGUUGAAAAAAAAAAAAAAUAAACAUUUUAAAAAAAAGGUGGCCUUUUGAUACUUAAUUCCAGAAUAAUUAAACAUGUAAAUGUAUAAAGGUAAGACCUUUAAACAUUUAGAAAUAGAAGACUAUCUUAUCUUUGUGUAAGGAAAAAGUGCUUAAGACACAAAAAGCUCAAAUCAGAAAGAUUGAUGUAUCUGCCUAUGUUAUAAAUUUUUAACGUUUGUUUAUUUUUUCGGGAAAGAGAGACAGAAUGUGAGCAGAGGAGAGGCAGACAGAGAGGGAGACACAGAAUCUGAAGCAGUCUCCAGGCUCUAUGCUGUCAGCACAGAGCCUGAUGCAGGGCUCAAACCCACAAAGGAUGGGAUCAUGACCUGGGCUGAAGUCGGAGGCUUAACCGACUGAGCCACCCAGGUGCCCCUACAUCUGCCUAUAUUAUAGUUAAGAACUUCUGUUCAUCAAGCGAUGCCAACAAGGAAGUGCAAAAACAGUCUACAAACUGGGAGAAGGUAUCUGCAACACCUGUCGCUUGCAAAGAAGAUAGUAUUCAGAUUAAUACUCUGAAACAAACAGAAAAAGACAAACAACCGAUGGAAAAACCAUCCAAACAGAUGUUUCACAGGAAGACGAAACACAAAAGGAGAAUAAACAUGAAAAAUUGCUCAACUUCUUUAAGAGAGACAGUGGGAGGAGGGGCAGAGAGAAAGGGAGAGAGAGAAUCUCAAGCAGGUUCUACACUGUCAGCUCAGAGCCUGAUGUGGGGCUUGAUCCCUUGAACAGAGAGAUCAUGACCUGAGCCGAAAUCAAGAGUGGGACGGUUAACUGACUGAGCCACCCAGGCACCCUAGGUGUCUGACUAUUGAUUAUGACUCAAGUCAUGAUCUCACAGGGUUUGGGGUUCCUGAGUUCGAGCCCCGCAUUGGGCUGUGUGCUGACAGCAUGGAGCCUGCUUGGGAUUCUCUCUCUGCUCCUCCCUCACUUGUGCACACACACUCUGUCUCUCAAAAUAAACUUAAAAAAAGACUAUAACAAGAUAACACACAAAACCUACUAAAGUGGCUAAAAUUAAGAAUUCAUAAUCACAAGUCUCAGAGAUGAGUAGAAGCUCUACCAUACUGCUGGUGGGAUGAUAAAUAUACACGAGCACUUUCGUAAAUACUACACAAUUUGGUAAUAUCUUGGUAGUUGAACAUUCACAUGCCCUGAAACCCAGCAGUUCCGCCUGUGUGUAUACCAUCAUGACUUUUGCGCGUGUGCCUAGGGAGACAUCCAUAAGGACAUUCCACAGCAAGAGUAAAACUUCACCUUUCUACCUUGCUUUCUGAAAGCAUUCGAUAAACGCCGAGGUCUGCAUCUCUGCCCCAGAGCUGAAGUCACCUAGAAAGCUCAUUCUGCAUAAUUCCUUGAGGAAGUGCUUAAGAUUGAACAAAGGAAAUGUUCAUAAAACUACUCAUUCUUUUUUUAUUCCGGAUAAUUUUAAAUACCAUCCGACUAGCACGUCACCUCCAAUGAAAUAUCAACUGAAAAUAGGUGUUUCUUCUUCCUUUCUAGACUGUUUAAUAUUGUUCUCCUGUGCCAUUGUCUAGUUCCAAAAGCAGCAGCUUAGUGUGAAAUUUGUGGGAAGGAUGCUAUUCAGAGUUUAAUUUCAUUAUGCAGUAACCCAGUGAAAAUCCAGUAGAAAGAAUGUAGAUAUUUCUAGAAGAUGCUAAAAACUAUUCGAAAAAGGAGGAAUGCAUAGACGUAAUUUCUCUAAAAUAGAGCAUUCAAUCAUUAGAGUUGGAAAUUGAAUAAAUGAAAGGAUGAUUGAAUGAAUGGUUGAUUCAAAAUGCAUCAUUAGUAAAUGGGAAGAAUAGACUUAUGUCGCUUGGUCCUAAAAAUAUUCCUCUAAGGAAUCAUUAGGAUUAUAUGGGAGACUUUAAAAAAAUAAUACCCAAGCCCCAGUUAAAUUGAAUCACAAUCUCUAAAGUUCUUAGCCAUUAGUAUUUCUUAAAAGGACUUAGCCAUUAGUAUUUUGUAGAAGCUCCCAGGUAAUUCUAAACGAUAACAGCUUUGUGAACCACAGAGCCAUCGCCUGUACUCCAAGUGGGGUCCAAAGACAACAUCAUUGGGAUGUUGUUAGAAUUUGGAAUCUUGGCCCUGGCCCAGACAUACUGAAUCAGAGUCUACAGUUUGACAAAGUCCCCAGGUGAUGUCUAACAUAAAGUUUGAGAAGCUCUGGGUAAUCAGGAUUGCUUUCCUUUCUGCAUGCCAUUUUGCUACAUCUUCGAUCAAGAGGUUGGGGAAAGACUGGGGAAAGGUCUUUCUUUUUAAGAUUCUUGUUCCCACUUUAAUCUGGAGGCAACUCACCUCACCAUUUUGGUAAAUCUGAUCAUAAAGAAAUAAUCACAUAAACAAGUACAUGAAAAGUGCUCAGCAUCACUCGUCAUCAGAUAAAUGCAAUCAAACCCAAAAUGAAAUAUCACCUUACACCAGUCAGAAUAACUAGUAUUGAAAAGACAAGAAAUAACAAGUAUUGGCAAGAAUGUGGAGAAAAGGUAACCCUCGUGCACUGUUGGUGGGAGUAUAAAUUGGUGCAGUCACUGUGAAAAACGGUAUGGAGGUUCCUCAAAAAAAAAAAAAGAAAAGAAAAGAAAAAAGAAAUACCAUAUGAUGCAUCAAUUUCACUUCUGAGUAUUUAUUUGAAGGAAAUGAAACCCUAACUCGAAAAAUAUGUGCACCCCAUGUUCAAUGUGGCAUUAUUUAUAAUAACCAAGACAUAAAACAGCCUAACUGUCCAUCAAUGGAUGAAUGGAUAAAGAAAACAUAUUAUAUAGAAUUCAGCAAAAAACAGAAGAAAAUCCUGUCAUCUGUGACAACAUGGAUGGAUCUUGAGGGCAUUAUGCUAAGUGAAAUAAGCCAGACAUAGAAAGACAAAUGGUAUAUGACCUCACUUACAUGUAGAAUCUAAAAAAACAAAAACAAAAACAAACUCACAGUUACAAAGAACGGAUUGGUGGUUGCCAGAGGUAGGGGGUAGGGGGUGGGAGAAACGGGUGUAGGAGAUCAAAAGAUACACACUUCCAAUUAUAAAGUAGAUAAGUCCUGGGGAUGUAAUGCACAGUAUGGUAACAACAGUCAACAAUACUGUAUUUGAAAGUUCCCAAGAGAGUAAAUCUUAAAUCAUGUAUCUGAAAGUUCUUAAGAGAGUAAGUAAAUCUUAAAAGUUCCCAUCACAAGAAAAAAAAAAUUGUAACUGUGUGGUGAUAGACAUUAACUAGAUUUCUUAUGGCAAAUCUUUAUAUUGUAAACCUGAGGCUAAUGUAAUGUCAACUAUAUCUCACUUUUAAAAAAUAAACAAAUAAUCGACAUUCCACCUCCCAGUGGGAAAAGUCAGAAUCUCCAAUCUUACCUUGAGCAAAAGUGCGAGGUAGCAAUCAUCCUGUCCAUCUGUUCCAACAUCCUCACCCCCAUCCCAGGAUGAUUUUCCUUCGAACCCCACCUCAAGCCUCAAUGCUUCAUAUUUUUACACUGACUCUUAAAGAUAAAAAAAUUUUAUUAUAGAAAACUUCAAACAUACAUAAAAUAGUCCAGUAUAGUGAACCAUCAUAUACUAUUGACCCAGCAUCAAUAAUUACCAACUCAUGGCUAAUCUUGUUUCAUCAAUAUCAGCACCCACUUCCUACUCUUCUAGACUGUUGUGAAGAAAAUCCAAUCAUUAGCUCAUUUCAUCUAUAAAUAUUUCAAUGUGCGUCUCUAAAGGACGUAACCCAAAUACCAUUAGGACACUUAAAAAAAUUAACAACAAUCCCUUAAUACCAUCAGUAUUCAGUUACUGAUCACAUUUCUCCAAUUAUCUUAUAGUUUUUUUUAUAUGUUGAAACCCUAGCCCUCAGUGUUUCUGUAUUUAGAGAGAUAGCCAUAAGGAGGAAAUAAGGUUAUGUGAGGCCAUAAGAGUGGGGCUCUAAACCAGAAGGGCUGUUCUUAUAAAAAGAGGAAGAUUCUAUGUCAAUUAUAUCAUAAUAAAGCUGGGGGGAAGGUUAUAAAGAAAUACAGAAAUAAACGAAGAAACAAAUAAAUGGAAUGAUGGAAAAACCAGAAGAGGAAGAGACAUCAGAGAGCUCUUUCUACUUGCACGCACUGAAGAAAAAACCAUGUGAGGACAUGAAAAAAGGCAGCCUUCUACAGAAAGAGAAGUCUCACCAGAAACCAACCCUGAUGGCAACUUGAUCUUGGACUUUCAGCUUUCACAACUGUGAAAAAGUAAAAUGUCUAUUGUUUAAGCCCCCCAGUCUGGAAUUUUAUUACGGCAGCCUGAGAUGACUAAUACAAUUAUUGAGACACUCUUUUCACAGCAGAUGCUGCGGUGGGCAUUUACAUGGGAUAUACUUAUCUCUAUACUCCACGCACAUUCCGAAAAUCCAUCCACAAACCUCUGCCCCAGCCAUCUCACCAAACAGGCAAUUCAUUUUUUCCAACUCCCUGAACAAUCUGGCGAACCUGUUAACCACGGCCCAGGAAUCAGAUGGGUCAUUCCUCAGACUACCUUUCCUUCCGUACAGAGUAAACCAGGUGUAAUACCUGAAGCUCUGCCCACUGGGAAGAUUGCUUUUCACUCUUUUCUAUCAGGCCAUCCCUGAACGGGACUAGAGUUGGGCAACUUAUCACUUCUGUGUGGUUGCAUCAUACCGUGUACAUCCAUUAAUACAUGUGGCCCCCACUUCUUCAUCCUCUAAAAGUGGCUACAGGGAACUCCCCAUAAGGCCAUUGAUGUGUGUUGAGAGAGGGGCAGCGCAGCAGUAGGAAGAGGCACCACGGGAGCCUAAACCACCUGGUCCGGAAGUCUGUGGUUUCCAGAUCUGCUUGGAGAUUGGUCUCACAUAUAUCCUUUAUACUUUACGAUGAAUCCUGCUGAGUGUGCCCGGGUCACGGUGGGCAGUUUAACUCACAUAGUCAUUUGUGACCCAGGGUCAGAUAUUCAGUCUCUAUUGGGAACCUCAGGCAGUCCAGGACCGGCUUUUCAAGUGAAAAUAGUUGUCAGCAGUUGACUUCACUUGGGUCUUAGUGGGUCUUGACAGGGGCUCCCUACAGCAUCCCUGCUUGGCACAGAUUCUUCCAUGCUAUUGGGUGUGCGGGUCAGACUGCUUGUAAGGAAGCCUGGACUUGUUGCAGAACCUCUUCAUACCCUGUGCCCACUCACAACUGGUGGUGUUGUAAGCUAUCCAAUAAUUAGGUCAGAGCAGCACAUCAAACUCUGGUUUAAGUUGCCUCUAAAAUCCAAAGAAAACCAAGAAGCAUUGUAUCUCCUGUGUAGUAUUUGGAACACGGUGCAACAAUUGUGCCUCACUUGUGGAACAACGUGGUACCCCAGUGCUCCCCUACGAACCUCACUGAUUCAGCAGCCCCUGGACUUCUGGGGGUUUAUCUCCCAACUCCCUGGCAUGCAUGUGUUUUAUCAAUGUGCCUAAGGUGCUUAUCGCCUCCCACUUCUUGGAUCCAAUUAGUAUAAUGCCAUCAGUGUAAUGGACCAGUGUGAUGUUUUGUAGAACAUCAAGACAAACACAUCCCUCUAGAUUAAAUUAUGACAGCAGGAUUUGAUUUAGCCCUGAGGCAAGACAGUUAAGAUAUAGUGUUGUCCCUGACAUAGGAAGGCACACCACUUUUAAUUAUUUUUGCCGAUAGAGAAGGGGAGUAGUGAAAGCAUUUUCUAGGUCAUUAGCUGCAUACCAGGUGCCAGAAAGUUGCCUUUGGAGCAGCCAACUCACAGCAACGCUGCUGAGAGAGAGCCAGGAUAAUAAAUAUGCCAGCCACUCCCCAAUCUCCUGCUAGUGCCUCCGAUUAGCCAAAUCCGACUGAAAUCCAUCCCUAUGGGUCAGCCUGGAGGACCCAAGGCAGAAUGGAAAAGGUGGAGAUGGGGUCUGGAAUUGCACAUGGCGACCAUUCACCAUACUGGUACAUGAUGUAGGGCACAUUUGUAUGCGAAAGAAUAAAUGGACCCUGAUCCAAUGUUAAAGGAGGGUCCCUUGCUCAGACAUAGAAUUUAGGAGUCAUGUCAUUGGACAGGAAGCUCUCUGGAUCACAUUGAUUGAAGUUAUACUGCCAGGACACCAUGUACUUUCUGACUAUUUAAUAUACAAUGGAGACAGAUCGUAUGCUCUCCUUAGUGCAGGAUUUGAGGUUUUGAAAAUUCUAGGGUCCUCUGCUGAUUCAUCAUAGCUUCAACUGUAUUCCUAAUAAUAAUCGAGUUUUAUCACAACCUAAUCCUCCCCUUUUCAGCUCAGGCUGGGACACAUUCUUCCUUUUAGAGCUUAUCGGGAGGUACAGGGUAUUAAAAAGAUACUGGCAUCUAUGGAUGAACCUUGAGAGUAUUAUGCUGAGUGAAAUAAGCCAGUCACAAAAAGACAAAUACUGCACAAUUCCGGUGAUAUGAGGUACCUAGAGUCGUCAAACUCCUAGAGACGGAAGUUAGAACGGUGGAUGCCAGGGCUAGAAGGAGGGAGAGUGGGGAGUUGUUUACUGGAUAGAGUUUCAGUUCUGCAAGAUGAAGAGUACUGCAGAUGAAUGGUGGUAGUAGCCGCACCAGAGUGUGAACGUCCUUACUGCCACUGAACUGUAAGAUUAAAAAUGGUGAAGAUGGUGAAUUUCACAUUAUGUGUCUUUUACAACUUUUAAAAGCUAGAAAAGAAAUUGGCACCUAAUGUAGAAAAGCAUGUAGCUCUUAGAGAUAUCCCAACUGAUUAAAAUCCCAGCAUCACCACUUACUGGCUGUGCGAUUUGGGCAAGUUACUUAACCGCAUCGUCAAUUUCUCAACUGGUAUCGAUAAUGCCUCUCUCACUGGAUUACUGAGAGAAUUCGGGAGAUAAUGUGCAGAAGCAUCUCCAGCAGAAGCCAUGUAUAGGUGCUGGUUCCCUUUGCCAUAAUACCUGCCCAUUCUUCAGAUCUCAGCCGGGACAUCCUUUCCUUUCCAGGCCUUUUCCUACCCGUAAAUCUGGUUAGGGAAUCCCUCCUGCAAGACUCACUGUGUUAAUGCCAGAUUGGUCCGUUCAACUGUACUUGCUUGCUUACUACUACUCACUGCUCAAGAACAUAAACUCCAUGUGAGAAGGGACUGUGUCUGCCUUCUUCCCAGUUGUAAUCCCAGAGCUGAGCAGAUCCCACUGAAAUGGGAAAGGAGACAGAAAACCAGUGGAAUGACCGUGGGAGCCUUGCAAACAAGAAAGCCCCAUCCACAGACAAGACAUUUUGAAGUUUAGAGACCAUAGAAAGUAGAUGGGGGGUGUCUGGGUGGCUCAGUUGGUUAUGUAUCCAACCUUGGCUCAGGUCGUGAUCUCGUGCAGUUGGUGAGCCCCACACUGGGCUCUCUACUGUGAGUGCAGAGCGUCCUUCCCGUCCUCUGUCCGCCCCCUCCCUCUGCCCCUCCCCUGGCUAGUUUGGGGGUGCGCAUGUGCUCUCUUUCUCAAAAAUAAAACGUGAAGAAAAAAAAAGGAAAGUAGAUAGGAUUAUAGCAGAAUAAAAUGGUAACCCUAAGCCACCAUGGAAGUGGUGGUGGCUGUUUUGCCUGGCAGAACUCUGCAGAAAUUCCAAGACACGGAGUCAGCAGGUUGGGAGAGGAGGGGUGAUGGAUUGAGGACCAUCUACGGGAUGGCUCAAUCAGCCCCUCCCCUCCAUUAAAUAUCUGGAGUGGCACCAUUUGCCCCAGGUGCACCCCUGUGCACCCCUCCUCCAACAGAGUAAAAGCUACCAGGGUGAGGGAAAAUGGGGGGGGGGUGCUGUGGACUGAGGCAGGCCAGGUGCUGAGAGACUCAGGGCCUCCACAGAAAGCCACAGGCAGGAGACUCCACUCUCAGGGGGAGAUUCUUCCUUAUUCUGGCAAUUCUGAGGAUCCUGUCUGUGGGGACGACACACCCGUCUACCCAGAGUCUUCCUGCUCUCCUCCUGGGCUGUUGGGGGUGGAGGGUGGCAGUGGGGUGAAGGAGAGGCCUUUGGGGUAAACAGGCCUUCCCAGCUGCAAAGCAAACUCAGGUGUGUUGACCAGAGAAGCCAAUAUAUCCCAUCGUCCGUCAGCCAUGUCCAUCAAAAUCAUGAGGCAUUUGGAAGAAAUUCAUGCUGUGAAAGACCGAUUUGCACAAACAGAACACGUCGUUUCAGAGAGUGGGAGACAGAUAAUGGCAAGAAAUAGGACUUGAGAACACUUUCUAAUCUAAGCUCCAAAAAGACAUACUAUCUAUUGAGGAAAAAAAUAGAAACAGAUGGCCAUGAAAAAAGAACACUCAGAAAGCGAAAAACUCUCGGAAAUUAAAAGCAGGAUCACCAAAAUGAAAACUGAGAAUAAAGGAACUGAAUGAAGCAAACGAUCGAACGUGGAUCUGGAAGAGAUGGGCAGAGAGGUGCUCCAAAUUAUGGAGUCCUAACAAGGGAAGGUUAAACGUGGAACCGACAUCUAUCUGUGAGGAGCUCCGGGAAGAGAUGGUGGAUGAGGAACGAGCUUUGAAAGACGGAGCAGUUGGGGCACCCGAGCGGCUCAGUCAGCUGAGCGUCUGAUUUCAGCUCAGGUCAUGAUCUCACGGCUCAUGAGUUCGAGCCCCGCUCAUGAGCCCCGCGUCUGGCUCUGUGCCGACAACCCCGAGCCUGGAGCCUGCUUCGGAUUCUGUGUCUCCCCCUCUCUCUGCCCCUCCCCCACUCACUCUGUCGCUCUUUCAAAAAUAAAUAACGUUUAAAAAAAAAAAAAGACAUAAGCAGCAGAUAAUUCCCCUGAGGUGGUGGAAAAACUGCAGUGUUGGGAUUGAAAGAAACUUCUUGCCCACCUCCCAUUCUGGGGAGGGCAGAGGGCGGUCUGAGUCAACGCUUAGAUGUAUUCAGGGGAACAUUCAGAAUGCCAGCUUUAUUUUUUUAAACGUUUAUUUUAUUUUGAAAGAGACAGAGACAGAGACAGAGAGAAUGAAUCCCAAGCAGGCACCAGCACUGUCAGCCCGGAGCCUGACCCAGGGCUUGAUCUCCUGAAACAUGAGAUCAUGACCUGAGCCAAAAUCAAGACUCGGAAGGUUAACAGACUGAAACUGCCCCCCGCCCCCCGCAGGCACCCCUAGAAUGCCAACUUAAAGAAAAAUACUAAGAUUCUGCAGAAAGGAAAGAAAAUAAGUUUCUCAGGUGGAAAUGAGUCCCACACUGGCCCCAGACAUAUCUGAAGCAGUAUUGUCUGCUAGAAGGCAGUGAAGCAAAGACUCUGAAUUGAUAAGGAAAAAUUAUUUCAACCAAGAAUUCCAUAUCCGGUCAAACAAGUAAGGCGAGGAUAAGAUAAAAACGGUAAACACCCACAAAGGUUAAGUCUACAUAUACCCUUUCUGGAAAAAAAAAAAACCAAUUAAUUGAGGAUGUAUUCCUCCCAAGCUGAGAAGGAAUCCGAGAAGAGGGAGACACAAAUGCAGCUCAGGAAAUCAUUGAAAAGAAACCGCAGGGGGUCAUUUGUGCGACUGGGCCUGCAAAGCUGUGGUUUCAAAUUAAAGGAGGGAGUAAACAGGCUCCGCAAAGAAUAACUUUAAAAACAAAAUAGAUGUCAUUACACACACCGAGUAUUGAGGAACCUGGAAGUUGUCAACAAUAAAAUGAAGACAUUUCAAUAACUACUUACAAACACACACAGACACACAGACACACACACACACACACACACACACACACACACACACACACAAGGAGAUAAGAAACUUCCCUUGAGGGAAACAAAUGCUCUAUAAGAAAAUCAUGAUCGGGGGGCACCUGAGUGGCUCAAUCAGUUAAGUGCCAGACUUCGGCUCAGGUCAUGAUCUCGCAGUUCAUGAGUUCGAGCUCCGCGUCGGGCUCUGUGCUGACAGCUCAGAGCCUGGAGCCUGCUUUGGACUCUGUGUCUCCCUGUCUCUCUGCCCCUCCCCUACUUGUGCUCUGUCUCUGUCUCUGUCUCUCUCUCUCUCAAAAAAAAUAAAUAAACAUUACCCGACCCCCCAAAAAGAAAGCCAUGAUCCAAAUAGGAAGCCAACUAAAACAGGACAUGAUUCUGACCCAAAAGUAGAAUUUAGAAAACUUUCUAUUCAAUCAUGACACAGGUGUAAUGACAUAGGGUACUUUUCACUUUCUAUGGGUCCAGUCCCAUUACUUGCCUUCACCAUGAACUUGAAUCAAGAGUGCAGAAGACUUGGUUAGGGUUCCAGCACAGAGCGAAAGUGUUAGAACAAUGGCACACCCCGACAGAACUAGGGGGAGGGGACAGAGGUAGGAAGGGCCCCCUCCCCCCCCCCAUGCUGAGGGGCCUCAUCUCCUGAGCAGCCACCAGGAGAGCUCAAAAGGGAAAGUAGUCACCCCUGGGGAGUGGGGGUUGGAGGGGGAGAGGAGGAGGAAGGAGGUUUUGUGCCCCAGCCAGAUUCUCAGCUCCCACUGCCUGUUUUGAGACCCAGGGCCCGGGUUCUGCCUCCCUCUGCUCUUCCUGUUCUUUUCUGUUUCUGCACCCCCCCCCCCGCCCCCUCCCCCCUGCCGGAAGUCAUUACCUUGUUUUUCAAUCGUGCACCCCCUCCCCUUUCUUCUCUCCUUGUAUAUUUUGUUUGGCAUCGCUUAAUGUUUGCCGUGGGUGAAAUGCGUCUUCUGGUACCGUCUUGACUGGACUGCCAUCACAUUCCUGGUAUAACUAAAAAAAAUGCUAUCUGAAAACAGAAAAUCCAUUCCUUUCUCCUCCUAGGAUUAUUCUGCAGCACACUGACAUCCGCACAGUUGUUACUCUUUUGCACCCAUGCGAAACCAGAGCUUAACUUUCAAGUCAACGUAGCGUUUGUUUUCUGAACUCGAAACCGUAGUAUUCCAUGAGGGAAACUGAGGCACAGGAAACGAAGCCAACUGUAGCUGUUCAAGUCGCCCACCUGCCCCCUGCCUGUGCCCUGCCCCUCCAAUCCCCAGUCCCUGCCCUCAAGAAGAGGACAUCUCAGCCUUCAGAGAGUUCACUGUAUAAUCCCUGUCACCUGAAGUCACUUCGGCCUCCCUUUUCCUUCCUCAGUCCUUGGUGGAGGUGAACAGCUGGCCUUCCUCCUUGUCCUCCCCCCCCCUCCUCCUUCUCCUUUGCGUCAGAACCCUUUCUGUAGCAGAACAUCAUUAUGUAGUCACCUUCUAGCCAUUUCUUUCUCUGUCUGACUCAUUGCUGUUCCUGAAAGUCCGUUCUAGGUCUUAUUGUUUGGAGCUGUGAGUCAUUCUGGUGGCUUUUCUUUGAAAUCCUCCCAAGAGCUUUCCUUCUCUUUUAAGCCAAGGAGAGCAGAAUGGGAAGGAUACUCUGGUGAGCAUUUCUAGGAGGGCUGAGAACAUAAUCCUUUUUUAUGAGUUUUAGGACCGAAGCAUAAAAUGCAGUAAGACAAACCGUUGACAAUUGUGCCCUAGCAGAUAAGCAAGCAAAUACAUAAAUCUUAGGGUUGCCUUUAUUCUCUUGAAUAUCAUCUCUUGAUAUAUCUCUUGAAUAUCGUCAUUCUGUUUCUCUCUCAGGGUCAGUACCUACCAGGCUGUGGUAAGGAACCCUGUUUUCCCCCCUAAUGUCCAUUCUUUCCUUUGUUGUACUAGAACCCCUAAUUAUUGGCUGGGCACAAGGCCACUCAGAGUAAAGACUACUUCCUAGCCUUCCUUUUUAUUAUUAUUAUUUUAAUAUGUAUUCAAUUUUGAGAGUCAGAGAGAGACAGAGUGUGAGUAGGGGAGGGCAGAGAGAGAGAGGGAGACAGAAUCCAAAGCAGGCUCCAGGCUCUGAGCUGUCAGCACAGAGCCCGGCCGACACGACGCUCGAGCCCACGAACUGCGAGAUCAUGACCCGAGCUGACGUUGGACGCUUAACCAACUGAGCCACCCAGGUGCCCCGUUCCUAGCCUUCCUUAUAGCUGGAUGUGAUUCUGAGACCAAGUUCUGGCCAGUGGAGUGUUCGUGGAAGUGUUGGAUGCAGCUACUGGCAAAUAUUUCUAAAGGGUUAGGGCAGAACCGCCCCCCACCCCCCUCUCCUUUCCACUGCUUGGACAAGGAGAUCACGGCGGUCAAGCUACCUUCCAGAACCCAGAGGCGGCUCACUAAGGAGGUAGAAGCAGUGCAAGAAAAGGAACUUGGAUCCAGCUAAUGGUGAAUCCAUUAGACCAGCCCUGGGCUUUUCAGUAGAAAGUCCUACUUUCUGGUUUAUUUUCUGCAUGAGGGAAAUUAAUUUCUAUUUUUCUAAACUGCUGGUUUGAAUAUAUAUGCAGCAAAUCCUAAUCCUGACAGACUCAAUAGCCCUGAGAAUGUGUUUGUAUAUACUUCGUUUUGCUUUGUUUUACUCGCAUAGGCUGAUCCAGAUAGGAAAUAUCUAGUGGGUUAUGCUUUUCCUUCCUCUGUGUGUGAAUAGCUCAAGUAUACCAAAUGCUCCCUGUACACCAGUUCUUUUUUUUUUUUUUUUUAAUUUUUUUUUUUCAACGUUUAUUUAUUUUUGGGACAGAGAGAGACAGAGCAUGAACGGGGGAGGGGCAGAGAGAGAGAGGGAGACACAGAAUCGGAAACAGGCUCCAGGCUCCGAGCCAUCAGCCCAGAGCCCGACGCGGGGCUCGAACUCACGGACCGCGAGAUCGUGACCUGGCUGAAGUCGGACGCUUAACCGACUGCGCCACCCAGGCGCCCCCACCAGUUCUUUUUUUAUGCUUUGUCUCAUUUAAUCUUGACACAAAGCAUACGAUUCUUUUCAUUUCCAAUGAGAGUAAACUGCCACUCAGAAGUUAGGCAACCGUGUUCAAGGUCACACGGUGGGUAAAUUACAGAUCUGGAAUCUGCAUCUGGACAGUCUGGCCCCAGAGCCUACCCCCUCGGUACACCUUUUUCAGGUGGAUUCUGUUCCCCAAGGACCUACCAAAAGGUGUUCAUCAUAGCGAUCAUCCACUUAGUGCCUGCUACGAGCAGGCACUGUGCUGGUGCAGAAAGCACAUUCUAGAAAGGCUGAACUGUACCGAACACGGGGGAAGCAGAGUCAGCGAAGCAGCCUGGGUCCUUUGCAGGUCCAGAACACCUUGCAGCUGUGCUGUUUGGUGCCAUUUUCUUCUCUUUCCUCUGAUGUGUUUUGAAAUGGUGACUGAUGAAUUCCUUUUGAAGUUCAGUAAUCCAGGACUCCUUUUGGUACUUUUCUCUAAAUUAUUCUUCUAAAUUGCUUCAUCUGAACUUUCCCUUUGUUUUAUGCUGAGAAUUUUGGUAUCAUAAACAUCUUAUUCAUCAUAUGCUUAUAAUAAUUCUGGAAGAUAGUUACUCCGAAGUACAUCUUAUCUUAGUGACUCACAUCCAACUCAUUAUCAAACAAGAGAAUACGAGGUAGGGUAAAAAUACAGUAAUUUGGCAGGUGUUAACCUGGAGGGACUCUAUAUGAGUUAAGCCACAAAUAAAGUAAAAUAAAAGAUUCUUCAGUGUCACUUUUACAAGUAGACUAACAUUUAAAUAAUUAUCCCUUUGUAGAGUAGCAACCUUUGGAAAAUUCAAUACUCCGUACACUCAGAAGACUCUAUCGAUUGGUGGUACACGAAAAUAACUUACUUGUUCUCCUUACUCUGUAGCUAUUCUCGAAUAGGAGGAAACACUUCUCCACUUCCAUUUUGAAUAGUUAGGUGAAUUUCGAUUCACAUUAUUUUUCCCUGUGAAGUUCUAUCAUAAAAUUUUAUGCUCCUAUAUAAUUGUUUAAAGAUUUUGGCUCUAUUGCGUUGGUUCAGACAAGAAAAAAUGAUACUCUUUAGCUACUAUAUGAUUUUUGAUAUGAACCUCGCUAUCCUUUUAAUUGAGUCUUAUAGAUGAAAACAUGACCCAGAACUGAGUAUAAACCGUGCACAUUAUAAGUUUGAGCCAAUAUUGCAAAUUGGAUUCUCUGAGCCAUUUUUUCCCCUGUUGAUGCACCCUAAUGAAACGAAUAACACCAAUUGCAAGAUACAAGAACUACUCUUCAUAGCAAAAUUGGUUGUUGAAAUCACAGGGCUGUGUACUAGCCCACUUUUUUUUUUUUAAUUUUUUUAAAUGUUUAUUUAUUAUUGAGAGACAGAGAGAGACAGAACAUGAGCAUGGGAGGGACAGAGAGAGGGGGAGACACAGAAUCCGAAGCAGGCUCCAGGCUCCGAGCCAUCAGCACAGAGCCCGACGCGGGGCUCGAAACCACAAACCGGGAGAUUGUGACCUGAGCAGAAGUCGGACGGUUAACCGACUGAGCCACCCAGGCGCCCCACUAACCUACUAGUUCUUGAACAUAGAAGCAAUGUAAUUACUGUAGUACCAUGCAGUACUAUUUAAAAAAAAAAAAAAAAGGUUACUCUCUGGGCUGGGACCUGGUUUGCAGCAACUUGGUAAAACACGCCAAGAUGUUAGGAAUCAUCGGUAAAUAGAAGAUCCCCCUCACCCUGUUAUGGUGCCUCCCUCAGGAAAAUGGUGAAGAAAAUUGAAAGAAGCCAGCGUGCCAAAUACACUUGCUCCUUCUGUGGCAAAACCAAGUUGAAGGGAUGAGCUGUGGGGUUGUGGUUCCCUCAUGAAAACAGCAGCCGGUGGUGCCUGGACCCUCAACACCACUUCUGCUGCCACUGUAAAGGCAGCCAUCAAAAGACUGAAGGAAUUGAGGGGCGCCUGGUUGGCUCAGUCAGUAGAGCAUGCGACUCUUAAUCUCAGGGUCAUGAGUUCAAGCUCCAUGUUGGACAACGGGGCCUACUGAAAAUUAAAAAAAGUCGGAGGCUGGGGCACCUGGGUGGCUCAUUCGUUUGAGUGUCUGACUCUUGAUUUUGGCUCAAGUUAUGAUCUCAGGGUCACGGGAUCGAGCUCCGUAUCGGGCUCAUGCUGAGCAUGGAGACUGCUUACGCUUCUCUCCCUCUGCCCCUCUCGCACACUCUCUCUCUAAAAUAAAAAAAUUUUCCAAAAGCAAAAGACUAAAGGAAUUUCCAGACCAGUAGAAGCUCCACCAUUUGACACCUGGUUGGCCUAUAGUAAAUGUUAAUUUAUGUAACAACAACAACAGAAAGAAGAAAUGGUUAAGCAUAAAUGCAAUUUAAAAUGAGACAGACUCAGUAGUUCUGCUCACAGAAAAGAAAAUAAAAUGACAUAAACUUCCCUCAAGCAAAAAUAUGGCAUUCAAACCAAAGCCAACAACAAGAUGUGUAGAAAUAAAUAUUCAAGACAAAAAUACAGGCAGCCUACAGAAAUAACUUAAAAAGCCCUAGGAUACCAAUGGGCAGAGACUACAGAUACAUAAUUCACAAAAGAGAAAAUGCAAAUUGCUAAUAAACAAGUUACUCUCACAAAGAAAUGCAAAUGUGAAAGUACAGAGGUUUUAAGUAUCUCCUAUUAGUAAAUAUUAAAAAUAAUACACUGUUGAAUAAAAGUGGUGGGAGUGGACAUCCUUGCUUUGUUCCUGAUCCUGGGGGAAAAGCAUUUGGCCUGUCAUUGUUAAGUAUGAUGCUAGCUGUACAUUUUUCAUAGAUGCUCUUGACCACACCGAGAGCUUUUUUCUAUUCCCAAAUUCCUUUUUGUUCUCUGUGUUAACAAUAACACCCCGUGUUGGCAACAGUCAACAAGAUAGACCCAGUACGCUCUGCUGUGGGAGGGUAAGUUUGCACGCUCUCUAGAAAUCAAGUUAGCAGUAUGUAUCAGGUGUUUUUAGGCCAUAUUUUAUGUCAGUACAUUUAUUUCUAUGUGUCUGACUUAAGAAAGAAAGUAAUCUGACUGGGGAGGGCAUUCGGUUAAGCAGUCGACUCUUGAUCUCAGCUCAGGUCAUGAUCUCACAGUUUCUGAGUCCGAGACCUGGUUAACACAUUGGGCCCUGCAUUGAUGGCGUGGAGCUGCUUGGGAUUCUUUCUCUCCUUCUCUCUGCCCUUCACCCACUUGUGUUCUCUCUCUCUCUCUCUCAAAAUAAAUAAAUAAACUUAAAAAAAUUAACAAAAACAAAGUAAUCUGAUAUAUGGGUAAAGAUUGUUUGCAAACAUAUUCAUUACGGAGUUAUUCAUAAUUCAUAAAUGAAACUAACAUCAGGUCAAUAUGAGGAGAAUGUUUAAGAUGAGAAUAAUAUGCAACUAUUCAACUUGAAAUUUUUUUUUUUUCUUCAACGUUUUUAUUUAUUUUUGGGACAGACAGAGACAGAGCAUGAACAGGGGAGGGGCAGAGAGAGAGGGAGACACAGAAUCGGAAACAGGCUCCAGGCUCCGAGCCAUCAGCCCAGAGCCUGAUGCGGGGCUCGAACUCACAGACCGCGAGAUCGUGACCUGGCUGAAGUCAGAGACGCUUAACCGACUGCGCCACCCAGGCGCCCCAUUUUUUUUUUUUUUUAAUUUUUUUUUCAACGUUUUUAUUUAUUUUUGCAACUAUUCAACUUUAAUUCACAAAGCCUCUUUAAUGUCGUGGGGGAAAUGCUGAUAAAUGAAAACAAAUUAUAGUGAAGAUCAGAUGUGGCCCAGGAACUUGGUUUUGAGUCAAGGCAGUGAGGUGAAUGGAUACAAAGGGGGAUAGGACUCUGAGAUCCUGAUCUGGGACAUGAUGUUGGGACCAGAGAUGGGAGUAAAGACUCCAAUUAGGGUCAUAGAUCAGAACUGUGGGUUUGGUGGGCAAAGGGCGAGAACAAAAGGUGGGGAAAAAAGAGAGUCAUCUGUGAGGAAAGGCAGAACAAAGGCCACCCUGCUUAAUAUGGAAAACAAAACGUUUUCCUUGGGUAAGCCCACCCAUCCUCAGCACCAGUGUGAAAUCUAGUACUCCGAAGCAACCUUUUUUCUUUUUUUUUUUAAAUUUUUUAAAAAUUUUUACUUAUUUUUGAAAAGGAGAGACACAGAGUGUGAGUGGGGGAGGGGCAGAGAGAGAGGGAGACACAGAAUCCGCAGCAGGCUCCAGGCUCCGAGCUGUCAGCACAGAGCCUGACGCGGGGCUCGAACCCACGAACCGUGAGAUCAUGACCUGAGCUGAAGUCAGACGUUUAACCGACUGAGCCACCCAGGCGCCCCCAAAGCAACCUUUUUCUACUCGCAGCAAAAAAUGACUGGAAAGAAACACACCAAAAUGUUAAGAACGAUUUUUUUUAAUGUUUAUUUAUUUUUGAGAGAGAGAGAAACAGAGCACAAGUGGGGAGGGCCAGAGAGAGAGGGAGACACAGAAUCCGAAGCAGGCUCCAGACCCCGAGCUGUCAGCACAGAGCCUGACGCGGGGCUCAAACUCACGGACCGUGAGACCAUGACCUGAACCAAAGUUGGGUGCUUAACCGAUUGAGCCACCCAAGCUCCCCAAGAACGAUUUUUGUCUGACUGGUGGAUUAUGGGGGAUUCUAAUUUUCUUCUUUAUGUCUUUUUACGUUUUCAAAAAUUUAGAGAAGAAUUUUUCAGGAUUUCUGACUGCAGAAAAUCAGCUUUUUAAUUCUGUGCACCACGUUUAGAAACGUACCCUAAUGGAAUGAGAUAACUAAAAGAUGGAAAAGACUUCGAGGUGUAUCCACUUCAUCUCCAGGUCAAUUCUCAUUUGCUUUUAUAUGUGGACUUUCCCCCGGAAGUGUCCUUUUUUUGUUUUUUUUUUAAAUUUUUUUAAUGUUUAUUUAUUAUUGAGAGAGAGACACACACACACAGAGCAUGAGCGGGGGAGGGGCAGGGAGAGAGGGAGACCCAGAAUCAGAAGCAGGCUCCAGGCUCUGAGCCGUCAGCACAGAGCCCGACGCAGGGCUCCAACUCACAAGCUGUGAGAUCGUGACCUGAGCCGAAGUCGGUAGGUAGCUCAACCAGCUGGGCCACCCAGGGGUCCCUGGAAGUGUCCUUAAAGCAGUGUAAUCCCUUGUACCGAGUGAAGAAUGUCUCAAUAAUACCUUUUCUUAAAACAGUUGGUUCAGGUUCAGCAGUCAGUGGGUGAUUUUUGUGUGUGUGCAUGUGUUUCUUUGUUUUUUUCUUAGUGCCCCUGAUAUACCCUUUCUUUUUGCCAACAUAAUGUUAGGCCAGACCAAUUGCUAAAGAAGGAAGGAGAGAGCUGUUCUCCCUGAGGACUGAACUCAGGGCCUUCACAUGAUGAGUCUGACACACUCACUGUCAGCUGAGCUGAGUGUGUGUGUGUGUGUGUGUGUGUGUGUGUGUGUUGUAACUGUUCUUAACAUAUUCAUUUUUUCAUUCAUUAUGUUCCCAUUAGAUGUUGAAGGUCUUACAAAAAUGAAGGACUUCUCUCUACAUAUCUUCGGUUCAGAUUCCUUAUGUGGUAUAUACUCUAGGGGCAGUUUAAAUGAAACAAAGCAAGAGUUUAAGAGGAGCGAGAGUAUUUCUGCCUGAAGUGAUCAGGGCCGACUUUGCACAGAACGCGACAUUUGGACCUCACCUUUAAGUAAAUGCGAUUUCAGUGAGUAGAGAGAGGAGAUGCCAUAGUCCUCCGUGAGGGCGGGAUUUGUACUUAUCUUGUUGACUGCUGGCUUCUCUAGCUACUAACCGGUCCCUGAUGCCUGGUAGGUGUUCAACAGAGAUUUAUUUAAUGACCAUUUGCGUGCAGGGUGAAGAGAAGAGACACAUAAUCAAAUUCUAGAGUCGUGGAAGCCAGGGUUUUGUUUUUUUCAUACAAAAAUUAGCCUACUUUUGCUGAAGGCUAAGCUGCAUGAAGAGGAAAAUUGGAAACUGAAAUUGGAAAGUUCUGUAUUGAAUCCAGGUUCUAGUAGCCUAAGGAGUACUCAGUAGAUAAUCGUGACAACGGCUUGGAAAUAUUCAUCUGGGGUGUUUUUUAAAAUCAGUGGGAUAGAUCAAAAGUAAAGAAACCAAUUAUAAAUCUAUUAAAAGAGAGUUGAGGAGACGUGGACACAGGCUGGAUAUUUGAUAAUGUUAAGAAAUUCUUGUUCAUUUAAGUGUGAUAGUAAUAUUUUGGUUAUGUCUUAGAGAAACAUAGGGAAAUAUUUACAGGUAAAAUAAUACGAUGUCUGGGUUUGCUUCAAAAUCAUCCUGGGAAUUGUGGGGGGAGGGAUACGGAUAAACCAAGCAUGUCAUGUAUUAAUACCUGGUAAAAUUGGGGGAUGGCUAAGGAGCUUUCUGGGGUGAUGGAAAUGUUUUAUAUAUUGAUUGGGAGUGGCAGUGAAACAGGCACAUACAUUUGUCAAAACACAUUGUGCACUUAAAGUUUAUGCAUUUUACUAUAUGUACGUUUUAUGUAGAAAAACUAGGUAAUGGUUUAGGUGGGUUCAUCUUACUAUUCUGUCUACUUUCUAAAGUAUGUUUGAACAUUUCCUAAUACAAAGUAGAAAGAAAGAAAAGAAAAGAAAAGGAAGAAAGAAAGAAAGAAAGAAAGAAAGAAAGAAAGAAAGAAGAAGGAAGGAAGGAAGGAAGGAAGGAAGGAAGGAAGGAAGGAAGGGGGGGAAGAGAGGAAGAAACCUACUGCAAUAUUGGGAGCAGGACAAUUAUUUCAAUUGAAGUUGUGGUAUGGCAUAACAGGGGAUCAAGUGAGAGUGACACCUUUCAGGUUACAACAGAUAACGCAUCACUCGGAUUGAGCGGGUUUCGCCUCAUUGGAACACUGGUGCAGUAUUGCAGAAAACGGCAUGGGCGGCUUUGACCUAGGCGUUCAAAGGAAAAAGCACAGAAGGAUUUUCAUUCAGUAUUUUCUGAUUUAGUUUGCAUGUUCUCCAACCGAUUUCAUUAUCAACAUCAUCAACACAUCUACUUGAUAGUCUCAUCCGUAAACUUGUUACUCCAUCAUCUCAUGAGGAAAAAAACAAUUUGAAGAAAUUUUCUUUGAUGCGCCUUUGGUGGGACUGAGACUUUCUCAGACCAUAAUUAUGGACCCAGGAGGAAAGGUAUUUAGGGCUCUCCAGGCCGGGGCCUAAUCCUAAAGAGAUCUCUCUUGGAGCUAGUGUCCCUGGGUGCCUUGCUUCUAUCAGAACUAUGUCCAUGGGAUAGAUAGUAUUGUCAUUUUCAUGCCUGUAGAUCUAUUUUUACUUUAAUAUUUGAAUGGUAACAGUGUCUGUGGGUAUGUUGUUGUUCUACAGAUUUGAUAUUAUGAUGACUAGAAACACCAUUGAUGCAAAAGUUGGAGCAGCAGUGGUCAAGGAAAGUUUUCAUGACAAGGAUGACCGAUCUUGUCCGUGAACAAAGAUGAACAACAGGCUUUAAAUGUCGUGUGUGCCAGGGGAGCCUUUCAUCCAAGACUUCACAAUAACAUUCUGGAUGAUAUUCAAAUGAGAUUAAACAUACCGUCCCAGAGACACCCUGACAGGAUUGAAGGGAGACAUUGCCGGAGGCAGCUGUGGCGUGGAAGUGACUUAAUCCGCCAGUCCCGCCCCACACGGACACCGUUUACCUGAAUGUGUUCUUUGCUUCUUCCGUUCUGACUGAAUCCUUGUAUCGGCCAGGGGGGCCCCCAUCCCUCAGACAGCCCAGUGCCUCGAGGGAAGCUGACUCCCACCCCCAGCUCCCGGGGUGAGCCUG
rnacentral:lncRNA from 1 species